rnacentral:misc_RNA from 1 species
GGAAGGAUCAUUAAAAUAGAACGGCCGUCAAGGCCCGCUGGAAGCACGGUCCCCCCCGCGGGAGCCGUGCCUGCAGUAGACCCUUUGUGAAAACCCCUUGUUGCUUCGGCAGCGCUUCCCCGCCCCCGGCGGGGAGGGUCAGCCUGCCGACAGCACCCGGAAAACCCCAAGUUGCAAAGCAGUACAUGUCUGAACAGCGCAGUCGAAUGACUUCAAAACUUUCAACAACGGAUCUCUUGGUUCCCGCAUCGAUGAAGAACGCAGCGAAACGCGAUAGUUAAUGUGAAUUGCAGAAUUCAGUGAAUCAUCGAGUCUUUGAACGCACAUUGCGCCUUCCGGUAUUCCGGGAGGCACGCCUGUUUGAGCGUCAGUCGAAACCCUCCGGCCUGCGGCUUCGUCGCCGCGUGCACGGGAGCAUUGGCGCGGGGAUCCUCGGCCGCCGCGUUUCGGCGCGGCCGGCUACUCCCCCGCCUAAACACGUGGAAAGCUAGCGGGUGGAUGCCCCCAUUGCGACGACUCGUAGAUUUUUUUGCAACGUCGGACCGCAACGGGACCCGCCCCGCCUACCAACCAGCGGGGGUGCACCAGCUCCCCCCAGGAUCUUGACCUCAAAUCAGGCGAGGAUACCCGCUGAACUUAAGCAUAUCAAUAAGCGGAGGAAAAGAAACCAACAGGGAUUGCCUCAGUAGCGGCGAGUGAAGCGGCAAAAGCUCAGAUUUGAAAUCCGGUGCGGUCCCCGCGCCCGAGUUGUAAUCUGGAGAGGAUGCCACGGCGAGGCCGGCCGCCCAAGUUCCUUGGAACAGGACGUCUAAGAGGGUGAGAACCCCGUACCCGGCGGCCGGGUUUAGCCAUGUGUGGCUCCUUCGACGAGUCGAGUUGUUUGGGAAUGCAGCUCAAACCGGGUGGUAAAUUCCAUCUAAAGCUAAAUACCGGCGGGAGACCGAUAGCGCACAAGUAGAGUGAUCGAAAGAUGAAAAGCACUUUGAAAAGAGAGUUAAAAAGUACGUGAAAUUGUUGAAAGGGAAGCGCUUGCCAUCAGAACCGGUGCCGGCCGAUCAACGUCCCUUCUGGUUCGUGCACUCGGCCGGCCGCCGUGCCAGCAUCGGUUGCGAGGGCGGGACAAAGGCGGCGGGAACGUGGCUCCCCUCGGGGAGCGUUACAGCCCGCUGCGCAAUGCCGCCACCCGCGACCGAGGCCCGCGGAUUUUCCGAGGAUGCUGGCCUAAUGGUUGCAAGCGACCCGUCUUGAAACACGGACCAAGGAGUCUAACAUCUACGCGAGUGUUCGGGUGGAAAACCCGCGUGCGGAAUGAAAGUGAACGGAGGUGGGAGCCCUCGCGGGUGCACCAUCGACCGAUCCUGAUGUCCUCGGAUGGAUUUGAGUAGGAGCGUAGCUGUUGGGACCCGAAAGAUGGUGAACUAUGCCUGAAUAGGGUGAAGCCAGAGGAAACUCUGGUGGAGGCUCGCAGCGGUUCUGACGUGCAAAUCGAUCGUCAAAUUUGGGUAUAGGGGCGAAAGACUAAUCGAACCAUCUAGUAGCUGGUUCCUGC